UUGCAACUACUCACUCUCCAUCAACUGUGUCUUCAACAUCAGCUCCAUCAAUGUCCUCUGCCAGUGCAAGCACUUCUGAGUCUCAAACAUCAGGACCUACAACCACAACAAACUAUCCUUCAUCUCAAACACCAACUUCAA